rnacentral:rRNA from 1 species
UACGUAGGGAGCAAGCGUUGUCCGGAUUUAUUGGGCGUAAAGAGCUCGUAGGCGGCUUAGCAAGUCAGGUGUGAAACCUCCAGGCUCAACCUGGAGACGCCACUUGGAUACUGCUAUGGCUUGAGUUUGGUAGGGGAAGACGGAAUUCCUGGUCGUAGCGGUGAAAUGCGCAGAUAUCAGAGAGGAAGCACCGAUGGCGAAGGACAGUCUUCUGGGCCAAAACUGACGCUGAGGAGCGAAAGCGUGGGGAGCGAACAGG